rnacentral:rRNA from 1 species
UACGUAGGUGGCAAGCGUUGUCCGGAUUUAUUGGGCGUAAAGAGCGUGUAGGCGGCUUCACAGGUCCGCUGUGAAAACUCGAGGCUCAACCUCGAGAUGUCGGUGGAAACCGUGUGGCUAGAGUCCGGAAGAGGAGAGUGGAAUUCCCGGUGUACGCGGUGAAAUGCGCAGAUAUCGGGAAGAACACCCGUGGCGAAGGCGGCUCUCUGGGACGGUACUGACGCUGAGACGCGAAAGCGUGGGGAGCAAACAGG